rnacentral:rRNA from 1 species
GUCGUGAGACAGUUCGGUCCCUAUCUGUUGCGGGCGUUAGAAGUUUGAGGGGAGCUACCAUUAGUACGAGAGGACCGUGGUGGACGAACCGCUAGUGUACCAGUUGUCCCGCCAGGGGCACCGCUGGGUAGCUAUGUUCGGAUGGGAUAAGCGCUGAAAGCAUCUAAGCACGAAGCCCACCCCAAGAUGAGACUUCUUCCAAGGACCGUCGAAGAUGACGACGUUGAUAGGCUGCAGGUGUAAAGUCAGCAAUGGCAAAGCCGAGCAGUACUAAUUGUCCGUAGACUUUCGACC